rnacentral:rRNA from 1 species
GAUGAACGCUGGCGGCGUGCCUAAUACAUGCAAGUCGAGCGAACAGACGAGGAGCUUGCUCCUCUGACGUUAGCGGCGGACGGGUGAGUAACACGUGGAUAACCUACCUAUAAGACUGGGAUAACUUCGGGAAACCGGAGCUAAUACCGGAUAAUAUAUUGAACCGCAUGGUUCAAUAGUUAAAGACGGUUUUGCUGUCACUUAUAGAUGGAUCCGCGCCGCAUUAGCUAGUUGGUAAGGUAACGGCUUACCAAGGCGACGAUGCGUAGCCGACCUGAGAGGGUGAUCGGCCACACUGGAACUGAGACACGGUCCAGACUCCUACGGGAGGCAGCAGUAGGGAAUCUUGCGCAAAGGGCGAAAGCCUGACGGAGCCACGCCGCGUGAGUGAUGAAGGUCUUCGGAUCGUAAAGCUCUGUUAUUAGGAAAGAACAAAUGUGUAAGUAACUAUGCACGUCUUGACGGUACCUAAACAGAAAGCCACGGCUAACUUCGUG